ACAUAACUGAUGCCUCCGCGUAUCGACUUUGUGCGCAUUUUAGCUAUUAUGUGUUCUUUUAAUUAAAAUGAUUCUUUUUAAGAUUCAUCUAUUAAAAAUUUGCCUCGGCAUAAUUUUUUUUGAUGAUCUUGUUACUUUGAGUAAAUUAGAGUGUUCAAAGCAAACAGAUAUAGCAUUUGUGCGUUUGAAUACUACAGCAUGGAAUAACAAAAUUGAACAAGUCAGAAUUUUUUUGUUCUUUUUUCUCAUUUUGGCUUAGUUACGAUUAAUAGGAGUAGCUUGGGGGCAUUUGUAUUCAGAUGUCAGAGGUGAAAUUCUUAGAUUUUCUGGAGACAAACAACUGCGAAAGCAUUUGCCUAAAAUACUUCCAUUAAUCAAGAACGAAAGUUAAGGGAGUGAAGACGAUCAGAUACCGUCGUAAUCUUAACCAUAAACUAUGCCGACUAGGCUUUGGAUGAAAGAUUUUAAAAUAAGAGUUUUUCUUUUCUCUCCGGAGAUUAGAACUCUUAGAUUGCUUCCUUCAGUGCCUUAUGAGAAAUCAAAGUCUUUGGGUUCUGGGGCGAGUAUUCGCGCAAGCGAGAAAGUUAAAAGAAUUGACGGAAGGGCACCACCAGGCGUGGAGCUUGCGGCUUAAUUUGACUCAACACGGGAAAACUCACUAGUUUAAGACAAGAGUAGGAUUGACAGAUUAAUAGCUCUUUCUUGAUUUCUUGGAUGGUGAUGCAUGGCCGUUUUUAGUUCGUGAAUAUGGUUUGUCUGGUUAAUUCCGAUAACGAACGAGAUCUUAACCUGCUAAUUAGCGGCAAAUACGAUAUAUUCUUAUGUAGAAUUGAAUAUAGUGGAUUUGUUAGAUUUUGAAGAAAAUAUUGGAAUUACGUUAAAUGUGAUUCCUUUCCCUUUUCUACUUAAUUUACAUUUCCAUCUAUUUCUUUUUUGCGUAUGAAUGUAUUUGCUUGAUUGUAAAGCUUCUUAGAGGAACGAUGUGUG
rnacentral:rRNA from 1 species